GAUGAACGCUAGCUACAGGCUUAACACAUGCAAGUCGAGGGGCAGCACAGUGUAGCAAUACAUGGGUGGCGACCGGCGCACGGGUGCGUAACGCGUAUCCAACCUUCCCGAUACUCUUGGAUAGCCUUCCGAAAGGGAGAUUAAUACAAGAUGGUGUUUCACUUUCGCAUGUUAUUGAAACUAAAGAUUUAUCGGUAUCGGAUGGGGAUGCGUGACAUUAGAUAGUAGGCGGGGUAACGGCCCACCUAGUCUACGAUGUCUAGGGGUUCUGAGAGGAAGGUCCCCCACACUGGAACUGAGACACGGUCCAGACUCCUACGGGAGGCAGCAGUGAGGAAUAUUGGUCAAUGGUCGGAAGACUGAACCAGCCAAGUAGCGUGAAGGAUGAAGGUUCUAUGGAUUGUAAACUUCUUUUAUACGGGAAUAAAACACCUUACGUGUAGGGUCUUGUAUGUACCGUAUGAAUAAGCAUCGGCUAACUCCGUG
rnacentral:rRNA from 1 species